CCUACGGGAGGCAGCAGUGGGGAAUAUUGGGCAAUGGGCGCAAGCCUGACCCAGCAACGCCGCGUGAAGGAAGAAGGCUCUCGGGAUGGUAACCUCCUUUAAGAGGGAAGCGCAGUAGACGGCACCUCUCGAAUAAGCCAUGGCCAACUACGUGUCAGCAGCCGCGGUAAUACGUAGGUGGCAAGCGUUGACCGGACUUACUGGGUGUAAAGGGCGUGUAGCCGGGCUGAUAAGUCAGUUGUGAAAUUCCGGGGCUCAACCCCGGGCCGGCAUUUGAAACUGUUGGUCUUGAGUAUCGGAGAGGCAGGCGGAAUUCCUGGUGUAGCGGUGAAAUGCGUAGAUAUUGGGAGGAACACCAGUGGCGAAGGCGGCCUGCUGGACGACAACUGACGGUGAGGCACGAAAGCGUGGGGAGCGAACAGGAUUAGAUACCCUUGUAGUC
rnacentral:rRNA from 1 species